AGAUUUGUUUGAUAUUAAAAGAAAAGGGGGAUGGAAAAGGAGGGAGGGAGAGAAAAGACAGAGAUGUGGGGAAAGAGAAAGGAAUGAAUAAAUAUCAUCAUUACAUUUCUCUCAUCAAUUGCUUCUAAAAUAAAUAAAUAUUAACCAAACUCUUCUCCUCCCUUCUUCUUCUUCUUCUUCUUCUUCUUCUUCAAUUCAUUUCUUCAUUUAUUUUCAUUUCUCUCUUCUACUCCAUGGCCUCUUUCUUUUUGACAUAAGAAAGAGGGGUUUUCAAGAAGGAAGAAGAGGACGAAGAUGAAGAUGAAGAUGUUGCAGCAAUAUAUACAUAUGAAGAUCAGUAGCAGCAUAUGUAGCUUAAAUUUUCAUGGGGGGGUUUGUCAAAGGGUUUCCAACAGAAUUUAUUGGCAUUCUGUCCACCUCCUCCACAUAUUAAUUUAUAUUUAUAUUAUAUAUAUACUUUAAUUUCUGUGUGUUUAUCGUUAUAAUUAAUUAUAAAUUAAAUUGAUUCAUUUGUUUGGUUUGGAGGUGGGCAUACUGCCAAUUGAGUUCUCUUUGGAUCCUCUUUGUAACACCCCUUCUUGAAUAAUAUCUCUACAUUCUAUCUUUCUUUUCUUCUUUUUUCCCCCUUAUUUCCAUGAUCUCCAUGCCCUCUCUCAAGGUUAAAACCAUCUGGAAAAUUGGUAGCAGGAAGAGGGAGAAUACGAUGGAUCAUCAAUCCAAAAAUGCAUGGGUGAGUCAAUUUGAUUUUCUUUUUUUAAUCUCUUGUGGAUUUUUGUUGUUGUUGUUGUUUGUGUGUUAAUUAUUAUUAAGAUCUAUUGGUUCCAUACUUCACAUAAAAUAAAUCCACACUGGCGUCGAAAAUAGAUGGCACGAUGUAUAUCAGACCAUCAUCUAGACAGGUCGUAAUGAGUAGGAGGGUGUGGCGGUGGUUGCAAAACCUUAGGCGCAAACUCAGGAGAAGUGACCUUGGGUGCAGAUGUUGGUAGUAGCAGCAAAUAUUCAAAAAAAAAAAAAAAUAAUAACUUAAAUAUAAAUAAAUAAAUGAAUAAAUAUAUAUAUAUACAUGUAUGAACAUAUGUAUAUAUAUUGUUUUUGGA